UUCUAUCAACCCUUUGAUGAUGCCACUCCAUAGUGAAGUACCUUUCCAUCAGCCCCCUGAUGAUGAUAAUCUUUUUCGUCAACCCUUUGACGAUGACACAUUUUCUUUCCGUCAACCCUUUGAUGAUGACAGUCUUUUCCAUCAACCCUUUGAUGAUGCCACUCCAUAGUGAAGUUUCUUUCCAUCAACCCUUUGACGAUGAUACUACAUAUAUAAUUCCUUUUCCACCAACCCUUUGGUGAUGUCUU
rnacentral:lncRNA from 1 species